UAAAGAUUCAUCGCUGAUAGAUAGGCAUGCGUUCCAUUAGGCAGUUGGCGGGGUAACGGCCCACCAAACCGACGAUGGAUAGGGGUUCUGAGAGGAAGGUCCCCCACAUUGGUACUGAGACACGGACCAAACUCCUACGGGAGGCAGCAGUGAGGAAUAUUGGUCAAUGGGCGUAAGCCUGAACCAGCCAAGUCGCGUGAGGGAUGAAGGUUCUAUGGAUCGUAAACCUCUUUUAUAAGGGAAUAAAGUGUGGGACGUGUCCUGUUUUGUAUGUACCUUAUGAAUAAGGAUCGGCUAACUCCGUGCCAGCAGCCGCGGUAAUACGGAGGAUCCGAGCGUUAUCCGGAUUUAUUGGGUUUAAAGGGUGCGUAGGCGGCCUUUUAAGUCAGCGGUGAAAGUCUGUGGCUCAACCAUAGAAUUGCCGUUGAAACUGGGAGGCUUGAGUAUGUUUGAGGCAGGCGGAAUGCGUGGUGUAGCGGUGAAAUGCUUAGAUAUCACGCAGAACCCCGAUUGCGAAGGCAGCCUGCCAAGCCAUGACUGACGCUGAUGCACGAAAGCGUGGGGAUCAAACAGGAUUAGAUACCCUGGUAGUCCACGCAGUAA
rnacentral:rRNA from 1 species